GAAUCUUCCGCAAUGGACGACAGUCUGACGGAGCAACGCCGCGUGAGUGAAGAAGGUUUUCGGAUCGUAAAACUCCGUUGUCGGAGAAGAAACAGUAGGAGAGUAACUGUUCCUACCCUGACGCUACCUGACCAGCAGGCCACGGCUAACUACGUACAAGCAGCCGCGGGACAACGUAGGUGGCAUGCGUUGUCCGUAGUUAUUGGGCGGAAAGCGAGCGCAGGUGGUUGCGUAAGUCUGAAGUGAAAGACCACGGCUCAACCGUGGAAGAACAUUGGAAACUGGGGAACUUGAAUGCAGAAGAGGAGAGUGGAAUUCCACGUGUAGCGGUGAAAUGAGUAGAUAUAUGGAGGAACACCAGUGGCGAAGGCGACUCUCUGGUCUGUUAUUGACACUGAGGCUCGAAAGCGUGGGGAGCAAUCA
rnacentral:rRNA from 1 species